UCAAACACAUAGUGCAUUCAAAUUAAAUGGCUAUAUUUACAAUUAGAUCCGAUGAUAUAUAAUAUUAAAGAGCUCUUACAAAGAAAAUUCCUCUAUACAUGAGUAGGUUCAUAGCCUACUCACCAGUUCACAAGCAUAUAUUUAGACCUUAAACUAAGCACUUCAGAAACAACAUCAUAGUUCUUUGUUGUAUUUGCCAUCGUAACAUAAUGUGAUAUCAUAAAAUCCACUUCUCAAUUGUGUAUGUGCAAGUUUGCUGCGAAGAAUAAUCAUUCAACAUAAAAUACAAAUAAGUCUCCAAUCAUCCACCAAAAACCAUAUGGCAAGGCACACAUGAACUGAUGCAUACAUAAAUAAAAUGAAAGUAAUUUAACAUUGAAAUUAUGUGUUUCCUAUUACAUCAUCUUCAGCAAAAUAAAAAUUAAAUGAUAAAAUUACAUUGGUCAGAUACAGAAGUAGAAAAAUACUUGUGCAUUUUGUUGACCCAAGCUUUUAACCUCACUCGGAUGUUCCAAAGAACCAAAGUAUAAAAUUUUUUUGAGUCGCCUGCAGUUGAGGGGCUGAUUUAUUUUGCUAUAGGGGACAUCUCCUAUUAGUGAUGAUAUAAUUAACUUGAGAUUUAUGCUAUCUCCUGUAUUACUAUCCUCAACAGGAAAUCAACUUGGGAAUAUAAGAGACAAAAAUAAUUUAAAAACAAAGAAGACAUAAGAUCAAAGGAAGAAUUAGACACUGAUAUUUUGUUAAGUAAAGAGCUAUUCUCUUGCCUCUCAAGAAU
rnacentral:lncRNA from 1 species